rnacentral:rRNA from 1 species
UACGUAGGGGGCAAGCGUUGUCCGGAUUUAUUGGGCGUAAAGCGCACGCAGGCGGUCUUUCGAGUUGUGAGUGACAGGUGGGGGCUUAACUCCCACAGGCCUCAGAAGACGGGAAGACUUGAGGGCUUCAGAGGGACGCGGAAUUCCAGGUGGAGCGGUGAAAUGCGUAGAGAUCUGGAAGAACACCAAAGGCGAAGGCAGCGUCCUGGGAAGCAUCUGACGCUCAGGUGCGAAAGCUAGGGGAGCGAACGGG